GGUCCUCACCUAACAGUUAUUGGUGCCCAACCCCACCUUUACCCUACAACAUCUCAUGUCUAUAGAGAGGUCCAGCCCCCCGAUGCAACUUGACCACUAUGUCCAGCCGAGACAAAUCAACAUCAGAAAGGCCUUAGCAGCUCUACUACAGUGGAAGACCUAUUGACUUAAUAUUGGUUAAUCAGGUCUUAGUGUUUGCAACUUGAGCUCUUCAUAAGAGGUAAUCGAACAAUUGGUCAGGUAAGCAGGUGGGAGGCUCCCCUUACUCAGAGAGUGAGGUCCUAAUUAAGUAACCACCUUUCAUGCUUUCCUAGACACCAAUUAGAUCAAUUAAUCUAAUAUGACUUGCUCAUGUCGGUUCACCCUCGACUUGAUUGAGGAGGUUUUGAUUUAGGUCUCAAUUGGGUUUGCUACAUCACAUGUAAACCUAUCUAUCCGACUCGCAUUCACAUCACAUGCAAACGGCACAUCACAGGCAGUUAUAAUCGCAGCAUCAAAUAAAGCUAAAUUUUAAAUAGGUGAUGAUCAUGGAUUCUAGUUAGGUCGUAUUACAAGCACAUGCACGUCAAUCGAUCAACUG
rnacentral:lncRNA from 1 species